ACUACAGUUACCAAAGGGGAAAAGGGUUGGGGGGAAGGAUAAAUGAGGAGUUUGGGACUAACAUAUACACACUUCUAUAUAUAAAAUAGGUAAACAGUAAGGACCUAUGGUAUAGCACCGUGAACUAUAUUCAAUACCUUAUCAUAAUCUGUAAUGGAAAAGAAUCUGAAAAAUAAUAGAUACGUACGUAUAUGUGUAACUGAAUCACUUUGCUGUGCACCUGAAACUAACACAUUGUAAAUCAACUAUAUUUCAAUAAAAAUAAAUAAAUCUAAAAAAAUACACUAAUUUAAAAGAAGUAGUAGAAAAAAUAAUCUUAUCUUCUUGACAUUUUUCGUGCUGUUGGAAAAGUCCCUAAGACUAGAAUUCUAGAAACCACCAUGUGCACAUACCAACUUCCAUAAUGGAGGCGUUUUUUUCUCUCUGAAGGCAUAAUUGUCGUUUUCAUAGAAAAAUCAUAUCUGGAUUCAUGAAUUGCUAAUUACACCGCCCAAUUUAGGGCAAUAACUUGAAUUCAGUUUCUAACAAAAACCAUAUUGAAUAAUGGCUGCCGAGCUGUUAGAAGCACAGCGGUUCUUUGGGUUCAAAUGUGUCCUAUUAGUGCUUGUGAGUGACCGCUCUGAUGACUGCCCAGCAGACCUCCUGGUCACAUCCACCCACGGCGCGCCUGUGGUCAGCGUCACUGGGGGACCUAGCAGCCUUUUCCUCGGCUACAUGGCCACGGGAAGGUCAAGUAGCGCUGUGCCAACAGUUAACGGGGGAUUUACUGGAGCCCUCUGCUCUCUUGCUCUGCUUCCUGGCCCCGGCCGAGCCCUCUCCCCCUCCACACCUUAAAUGUGACUCCACAGAGAAGUUCUGCCCGAGCAGUUUCGCACAUGUCCACGUAACAGACGGCUGGAGGCGGGAGCACAGUCGUUCAGAAACCACAAUGUGGGGUGCUUGUGUGAAGGGCUAGGAGGGGGCCCAUAAAGCCAGCAGAUCAGAAUGAGUCAGCUGCUGUGAGGAGUGGUUGAAGUAGCUUUAAUGACUUCUUUUUGCUUAACUAAGGGCUAGAAGACUGAACUUCUAUGAACAAGCACCAUAUAGAAGAAUGGAAGAAAAAACGAAGUUCUUCAGAAGUAUGAAAUGGUGGAAUGAUUAUGCAUUGAAGAAGUUGGGAAGAGCGACAUGACCUUUAAAGCCCCACGGUCCUGUCACUGGCGAUGCCUUGGCUUCAAGCAAGCUCACUGAAUAGUUCUCUGCUUGCCCAAAAGAGUUGAAAUGGAUAUUCUAAAACUACAAGAAGUCAAGAGUCCGGGACACAAUUUCAUCUAAAAGGUCGCUGACUGAGGAGCCUAGAGGAGUCGAGAACUUUGUGAGAACGCUAGUUCUCGUGAUUGUCCACAUACAGCCUACAGACCGGAGGUGCGGCUCCGCUCCUGAGAUCGGAGGUUUGCACCUCUUUCCAAACCGAACAGUCAGGAUGACCUUCCUGGGACGUCAGAUGCCUUCAGAGAACGUUCCUGGUCUGUGGGGAUGAGAAAGGGGAAGCCAUUCUAGGACCCUGAGGAGGAAGGGACUGGUGGCUGGCAGGAUGCCACUGGUUGCAGGUUUUUAUGUUCCUGUUCCCCAGACAUAAAUGUCAACUGAGGGUGGAUUUACAGAUACUUGCUAACAUGGGCGAAUUUGACAGCCGCCUGCUGAUCUCCACCCCUCGUGCAGGAAUGACUUGAGUUACAAACCCUGCAGGAGAACGAAAUGCUAAGGACAACACGGGCUUGGGGCUAAUGGAGCGUGUGGCUGGCUUAGGCUGAGUGGCACAGCGGUGCGGCGUGACCUGCGGGGCCGGCCUUACACUGGCUGGAUCCUCUGCUGGUUUGGGGCUGUCCUCAGACGUUUCGGGGGCUGUUGGCACAGACACAGGAAGCAAAGGAGAUCUCGCCUUUCCCGCCAGCCCCAGAGAGGCUGUUUUAACAUUCGGAUCAGGCCUCUCCAGAUGAAGCUCCGCCAGUCAUAUGCAAUUUCAAAUCUCACUGGAAAGGGUUGCCUGGGAGCUCCACACUGUUUUUGUCACGCCUUGGAAAGCAUCAGAACCAAGGAAUACUUGUGAGAUGAUUGCUCUAGUCUACAGGUGAGUAUUAGAUGUUACACUACAAAAAAAAGCCCUUUACAGCUAACCUCAUAGAAUCGCAUUACUAUUUUCUUUUGGAAAAGAAAAUUUUCUCUCCUGAUCAGUAUAGUGCCUCUCAUUCAAAUACAUUCCAGUGCUUGUGAAAAUGAUUUGAAUAACUGCUGAGUUUCUACUAAACAACAUUUCUGUCUGCUGUAAACAAUGGCUGCCUUCUCUUUUGGGGUCUAAAUUUUAUAAAGGUGUAUUGAUCAGCUUAUUGAUCAGCUAGUAUACCUCACACACCUAAGAACUUUGGUCAUCCUCAGCACAGCAGGCACUGAGUAAAAGCAUCAAAGACGUUCGCCCCAGCUCUUGUUAGUGAUGAUAUUUAAGUUCUAAUGAUGCCGGUGGCACACUGUAUAUUUGCGGGGGGGGUUUGUUUUGAAGACAUAGUUCUAAUAAAAAGCUCAAAAAUUACUCUACUAUCAGAGAAAUAGGAGAUAUUUGCUUACUGGGAAAGAGAGAACACAAACAACCCAGUAGGCUAGCAAUUUGCUAAAUGAUAAAUCCCCAAAAAGCACUGUUUCCUCAUGCCCUGGCCUAGCAUGUCAUUCCCUUAUGUUUAUAUUGUUUCACUCUAUUCUUAAACCAAGGAAGAAAAGUCUGCAGUUGGAGUGAUUUAUCACUAGAGGGUGAUCUUAAGUUUUUGGUAACUCACAGAAGAAACAGGAGAAACAAGAAU